GACCAUGCACUUUCGAGGCAGGUGCCGGAACCACUGAACUAAAUCCGCAGCCCAAGGGCAGGAGUUUUUAAACGUUAAUGAGCAUCAAACCACCUAGAAAGCUAAUAAACUUGCGGAUUUCCAGGCUCUGCCCAGAGAUUUUGCAUCAGCAAGUCUAGGGUCCACCUGCGCGUGCACAGUGGGGAGCGGCCGUUCCAGUGUGCCCUGUGCCAGAAGAGCUUCACCCAGUUCGCCCACCUUCAGAAGCACCACUUGGUGCACACUGGGGAGCGGCCCCACAAGUGCCGGACGUGCCAGAAGUGCUUCAGCAGUUCCAGCAACCUCAAGACUCACCUGUGCCUGCACGUCCAGUGCAGUGUCUGCCCAAAUCACUUCACCCAGCUUGUCCAUUGGAAGCUGCACCAACAGCUCCACACUCCACAACCCGGCGGCCUGGCUCACCCCCACCUGCCCCUGGGCUCUCUUCCCUGCCUUGCCCAAUGGCACCAGCGAGCAUUGGAUCUUGUUGCGGAGCCCUCAGAGAAACAGAUGGGUUGGGACAUGGACAGGGUCAAGGUGUCCUUGGUAUCCCAGGGAAAGCCAGGGCAGCCAGCCUGAGCCAACACUGCUCAGAGGAGAGGGCAAGGGCAGAGC
rnacentral:lncRNA from 1 species